GGAGGUUGGGGAUGAGGGUCCCUGGGGGAUACCAGGAUUAGCUCACAUCAGGCACUGUCUCACAUGCUAAAUCGAUGAUGAGAUUUUAUCCUGAUGGUGAGGCACCUUGGAAGAGUUUUGAGAAGGAGAGUGAGAAUGAGAUUAUUCAGUGAAAGACGUAUUUGUGAAGAUGGUGGCCGUGGUGGGAAAGGUUAGGGAAGGUCAGGAGACAGCAGUACCAACAAGAAGGCCACUGCAGUAUUCUUGAAGCUCUUGUUGCACAAACUCUCUCUGAAAGGAAGAAUAGACACUGAUUCUGAGUGCCUGCAAUGAACGCUGCGGAACUUACCGUGUGAGCUAUAAUUGAUAGAGAUGCCAACUGCCAACUAACCAGAAAAACUCCAGCAUCGUAAAUCUGUCCCCCGGCUUCUCAUGAGAACUGAUGGAUGAGGAAUUCAGCUUAAAUAUUUAACAAUCAAUAAUUCAAAUACCUAUCCAACCAUUUGCAAGUUGACAUGUUUAUAAAUAUAAGGGCUGCACUUCCUUGCAUUUCACAUGAAACUUAGAGUUUAAAUGGAGAGAGUAGAUAUACCACAUAUUCUACGAGGAAAAAUCUAGAGGAGUAAGUGGAAACACCCUACCAGUCUUGGCUCAACUGGAGUCUAUUAAACUUCUAGCUUUGAUCAUGUACCAUUGUUCACGCCCUCAUGUUGCUGGUGAGCAAAUCAACAACAAAUAACGUGUUGGAAAGCCCAGUUGUGCAGCUGGGGUAAGAUGCCAGAGCUUGAUCUCCUUUGCAUCAGCAGCUCCAGGGAUCAAACCUAAUGCACAGCCAAACAGCACAAUGAAUUAUUCACUUUGAGCUUCCACAAUCUCUCUGCCACUAGAAUGGGUCAUCUCUCAGGCUGUAAUUCAACCUCCUUCCUUUGUCUUCACUUCCCAACAGACCGCCAGGAAUGAGGCCCAACUCUGGGGAGACAUUCUAGCCUGGUGGCUGGGGGCCAUGAGCUGUGCGUGUCCAGAUGCUGGGUAGGCAUAUUGCUGUUUGAAUUUAACCAUUUUGAGUGAAUAAAGUCUAAAGUCAGCAUUGACAGCAGUGAUUUAUCUGCACUUCACAAUUAUUGAAUUUAGAUGCUCCAUCCACUUGCUGAUUUAUUAAACUGCUCUCUCCUCUGAGAGAGAAUCAAAGCACCUCCUUUGGCCCUAAUGGAUAGACACUUUGGAAGGACUUAGGGAAGCCAUUGUUGAUAAGACUCACUACCUAAAAGAGAACCCUGUCUCAUGUUGUCUUUGCACGAAAAUAACGUCCAUUAUUUGUGUUUCCUUCACAGUCAAUAACUCACCCUUUCCAGAGAAGGUGGGGUUGUUGGCAAACACCUCUGAUGUUGUAGGGGCUGAAGUGUCAGGCCUGGGCAAUGAGCUGCUUGCCACAUUUGCCUCCCUUCGCCCCCACCUUCCAGCUGUCUCUCCUUCAGCUGCAGAGCCUGAGGGUCCCCAGAUUGAAAGGAGACCCAUAGCUUGAGCCACCAGCUGGCUACACUUCCUGUUCACAGGUUCUACCUCCACAGAAACAACACUAGCCAGGACCUUGACCAUUCUCCUCUUCACAAAACAAUGCAGAUUCUGAAACCCCCCAGUGGAGACGGAGAGGAAAAAGGGGACAUGCGGCUGAAAUGAAUCCAGGCCUGGUAUGCCCACCACCCUCAUUGUUGGAAAAGGACUGUGAAUUCUCUGUGCCAACAGUAAUUGAUGAUUCCAAUUGGCGGAUGGCCUGUUAAUGAAAAGAUUACCAGGCAGCAGCAUAUCUAGUGUAGAAUUUUGGCUCCAUUCUGAGAAAAUAUAACUGGCUGGUGGGGAAAGGACAGAGCUCAGUUUACUUGCAGAGCCACCAGCUAUAGGUCUGUCUUGAAUUUAGGCUUCCAGGGCUGUGGAGGAAUAGAUGAGGUGUAGGUUAGUUACAAAGGAAAAAUAAUAGUGGUUGAAGCUGAUGAUAAAUGAAUGUCAGAAGGUGUGAUAUGUAGAAUUUCUGGAAACAUGUAUGAAACACAGUAACUAAUGUGCACAGUUCGUGAGCAUUUCAAAGCAUAUUCACAAUCAUUUUCAUUGAAUGGGUCAGUACUGAUCAGAAGCAGAAGUUGGAGGGGAACUCUUGUGGGAGAAGGGAAAGACACAAUAUUUAGUUAUUAGAAACAAAGUAAGUUAUUAAUACAUUUACGAGAAAGCAGACUAGUCAUUAAGAACUUAUGGAGAGCAUCUGGAGGACUGAGGACCUGUGGUUUCUCUCACUGUCAGGAAGAAGUCAGUUAGAUAACAAACCUUGCAGCUGCACAUCCAGGUUUACUGUUUUACCUAUUGAUGUUGCUGCAUAAAGAAGAUUCAGGUGGAAACUCUUUCUCACCUGUGUGCCUUAGCUUAGGCUAAGAACAAUUGUCAUGGCUGCCCUCUUCUUGCCCAGGAGGAAACCUGGGCCUGAUUGAUGCAGAGUAAUUAAGUAAAACCUGGAGCCAAAAUUUUCAUUUGAGGCUUAUAAUCACUCUGGGAAGCAGAUACCAUUGGUAUCUUUAAAAUAAGCAAACAUUGGCCGGGUGCGGUGGCACACACCUGUAAUCCUAGCACUUUGGGAGUCCGAGGUGGGAGAAUCACUGAGGUUAGGAGUUCAAGACCAGCCUGGCCAAUGUGGCAAAACCCCAUCUCUACUAAAAAUACAAAAAUUAGCCAGGCGUGGUGGCAGGUGCCUGUAAUCCCAACUACUUGGGAGGCUGAGGCAGGAGAAUCACUUGAACCUGGGAGGCGGAGGUUGCAGUAAGCCAAAAUUGUGCCACUGCACUCCAGCCUGGGCAACAGAGCAAGACUCCAUCUCCAAAAAAGAAAAAAAAAGAUAAAAUAAUUUUUUUAAAAUACAGACUUUGUUUUUCAAUAUGAACUCCAUCAAUUUCAAGACAUCUUUGUGAUGUCUUGUGAGGGAUGAUAGCAGUGAUUUAGUCCAUCCCUUGAGAACCAGGCAACAAGAGUGAGACUCUGUCUCAAAAAAAUAAAUAAAAAGCAGAGGCACAGAGGGGUUGAAUGACCUGCUCAAAGUGACACAUUCAUACUGUUUCUUUUAGAACUGAGAUUUUAGAUCAUGUGCUUCAAUAUUUUCUCCCAGCUCCUUCCUUUUUUUCUACAAAGAAGGGAAAUGGAAGUCCUGGAGAAGGGAAGGCCAAGUAGCUGGAACCUGGGGUUCCUGCACCUGUAGACUUGAGAUCAAUCUUCUCUUUCAUACAUAAUGGUUCCAAGUACAAUCUUAGAGAGAUCUCAUGCUACUAAAAAGUGUUUGAAGACCACUAUAAUAGACAAGCCAAUUUUCUCUUCAUGACAACCAGAUACAAAGAUGAAAUGAAAAAUUUGAAUGUUAUCUGAAGACCUGGUUUCUAUAUAUUAAGCCACUCUGCACAUAAAUAACACUUUCACUAACCCAAUACUAACGUAAACCGGAUACUCAGUCUCAGACUACUGAAUCUUGUAGAUGGAAAGUCUUCAGAAAUAUUGAUUAAAUUAAAUUGCAAGUCUCAACUGCACCAGCAACUGUAGUUCAUAGGUACAGUCCUGACUGACUCUCCCUGGGUCAGAAAAGGCCAGAUGCUUAUUUGAAAUUCAGAAUGAGGCCACAAGAGGCCAGAUUUAGAUUGUUACUUCUUGAGAGACAGAAACCUUUCAGCAUUUUGGCAAUUACUAUUGAAAAAACUACCCAGGGAGAAGGUAGUUUUAAACACAAUUAGGAUUCUAUUUUAAGGAGAAAUCAUAAACUGCCCAUUUAACGUGCUAAUGUUUGAUCUACUGUGAAGCAGAGAAGAGAGAAGCUAUUACAAAUUUGCUAAUACCAUCAAAACUUAUAAAGUGAUAAAAUGAGGCUACAUGAAGAACAUGCAGUCAUCCCAAGCAUUAGACAUGCUAAUAGCUGUGAAUAUAUAUGAGAGAAGAGAACUGUUCUGAGAAUCAGUGAGAUAAAUUGGGCUGUUUUAUCUGCAGUCUGCCCCAUGACCCUUGGUCACUCCUGAUUCUCAGACCACCUGAACGCUCUCCAAAGCAGGGACACACACUCCAAAAAACUAACAUCAUCAUGAGAACGUCUAUGGCAUUUAUUUUUAUUUUCUCCAUUUAAAAUGAUGAUUUUUCUGAUUUUUUAAUGCCCAUAAUAUUUUAGUACAGGAGUACACAAAUAUAAUUUUAAAUAAAUAGCUAUCCUACCCAAACUCAAGAACUGAACUAAUUCAGAUAUAUUUUAGGAUGAAUUCUUGGCAAUCCAAAUUCUGACCGCUUGAUGUCAGAACCAAAUAGAUUUGGAUAAACUGAUACUCUUCACUAUCCAAAUGUACCAUCUCAACUCAGGAACUGAUAUUUUUAGAUAGCGAAGGAUAGCUGUGUGUAAUUAUGGAGAUGCCAGUUUGUUGUUGUUUUUACUGAUAAAAUGCACUAUUAAAAGAACUGAGGAGAUCACAGCUGCAGAUGACUGAUCGACCUGACUCUGAGUCACGGUCAGACAGGGCCUGCAGAAGUCGGGACAGAGCGAAACGCUCUGUCUGUGCUUCUGUGUCAAGUACACUUGUAUAUUUCUUGGAGAUUAGGUUCUGACCUCGGUGAAUAAAGUGAAAGUUCGUAUAUCCACAUUUUCCCUUGAAAAUCCCUUGGGAAGAUAUAUUUUGGAGGCUAAGUUUUUUCUUUAGUUUGGGAAAAG
rnacentral:lncRNA from 1 species